rnacentral:rRNA from 1 species
UACGUAGGGUGCGAGCGUUGUCCGGAAUUAUUGGGCGUAAAGGGCUCGUAGGCGGUUUGUCGCGUCGGGAGUGAAAACCAGGUGCUUAACACCUGGCUUGCUUUCGAUACGGGCAGACUAGAGGUAUGCAGGGGAGAACGGAAUUCCUGGUGUAGCGGUGAAAUGCGCAGAUAUCAGGAGGAACACCGGUGGCGAAGGCGGUGGUCUGGGCCGGCACUGACGCUGAGGAGCGAAAGCGUGGGUAGCAAACAGG